rnacentral:tRNA from 1 species
ACAUCAAUGCCAAAUUUCGCGUAUUUGCGAGGAUUGAAAAUCCUUGUGUCGGUGGUUCAAUUCCGCCCCGGGCCACCA